AGGUGUGAUCAUACCAGUGUUAAUGCACCGGAUCCCAUCAGAACUACGCAGUUAAGAACAUUUGGGAUACAGUAGUACUGAGAUGGGUGACCUCUUGUGAAGUCCUAGUGUUGCACCCU
rfam:Picea glauca, whole genome shotgun sequence.